GGGCAUUUUGCAUACGUUACUUAAUACUGCUAAACCUUCACCUUGACUUUGCAUGCUGGAAAUAUGCCCAUUUUAUAGGUGAAGAAAUUGGAGGUUCACGUGAAGUUGAUUUGCCGAGGGUCACAUACCAAGUGGACUUGGCCUCUUCCAUAAGAUCACACUGCUUCCUUUGGGAAAUAAGCUCUUCCCAUAUCAUGUGUUUCUGGCUCCAUGGAGAUCCAGUGGUUUUGGCUCUCCUUGCAGUUGGGCUGUGACCAGCCCAGUUGGGCUGAGCAGGAGUCGUCAUGCUCAGGACAUGGAUGGUUGGGGUGUCCUGCCUGUAGCACACAUUGCCCCUUCCUCACUCUCAGUGUGGAAAGGCCACACACAGGCUGAUGAGAUCAACUGCCAAGAUCACUGAACUGAGGAAAAUCAGCCUCAUGAGAUGAGGGGUCCAAACUCUAUAAAUAAAAGUAAGAACUAAUAAUGCUGGGGAGUAAAAUGGAGCUCAUAGAACAAACAAAAGCUUUAUAUGAACUGUAAUAAUUUCAGAGGGCAAGGGGGCUAUUGCUACUAUGAAAUAAUAACAGACUAUUUAAAAAAUAACUAUUUUGAAAUGCAAAACAAUGCAUUUGGAGAUAAGGUCAAGAAGUUCUCCAAAAAAAGUAGAACUAUGAACAAAGAUUUAAAUGACGCUUUAAGGAGAUAUGGAAUACGAUUCCACAGUUCUGACAUGCAUGUAAUAGGAAUCUCAGGAGAAAGCAUGAGGGAGUCUUGUGAUGGAAGUGUUCUUUGACAGUACAAUGUCAGUUGUGUUAUGACAUUAUACUAUAGUUUUGCAAAAUGUUAUCAUGGAAACGGGAUAAAGACUACAUGGGAUAUAGUUCUUACAACUACAUGCAAUUGUACAAUUAUAACAAAUAUAAAAAUUUCACUAAAAAAUGAAUUAUUUGCUCCCAGUUUUCAAGUUGUGAGAACUCCUUAUAUGAUUUGGAUAUGAGUCCUUUAUCAGAUAGAUGUUUUACAAAUAUCAUCAGUCUAUGGCUGGUAUUUAAAUUUUCUCUAAUAGUGAAAGAUUUUUAUUUCAUGUUGUCCAAUUUAUCAUUUUUAAUGGUUUCCAUUUUUUAUAUACUAAGUAAAAAAUUGUUCCUUAACUGGAUGUCCAAAAGAUUUUCUCCUAGACAGUUCGUAGUUUUAAAUUUAAGUCUAUAAAUAUAAUUUUUACUUACUUUGCAGGUUGUAUGAGGUGUAAGGGUCAAGCUUUAGUAUUUUCUAUAUGAUACCAAAUUGAUCCUGUAUCAUCUGUUUAAAAGACUAUCCUUUAUUCAUUGAUUUAACUUUGCACUUUUGGCAUGUAUAUAGUCAAUUACAUAGCAUCAAGAAUAUGGAAAGAUAAGACUUACUGAAUGUAUAACAUAUUACUGAUAAAGAAGAUAUAAUAAAUUGAGUUAUACCAUGUUCAUAGAUUAGAUAUUUUAAUGUUGUUAAGAAUCAGUCCUCCCCAAAUUGAUCUAUAGUCUGUAAAAUCCCCAUCUAAAUUAUAUUAAGCUGUUUUAUAAUUCAACUGUAGAAAUUGACAAGUUGAUUCUAAAAUUUAUAUGUAAACACUUAGUCAAGGAAACAUUGAAAAGGAAGGACACUAAAGGAAAAACACUAAAAUUAGAACACUACCUAAUUUUAAGACUUGUUAUAAAAUAUACUAGAAGUCUACUGGGACUCUGAAUGGGAUUUUGUUGAAUGUAUGUAUCAAUUUCAGGAAAAAAACCUUCCAAUCCAUGAAUGUGUUCUAUAUUUAUGAAUGUGUUCUAUAUCUAUAUCCCAUUUAUUUAUAUCUUUAGUUUUUACUCAGCAAUGUUUUGUAGUUUUCAGUACAGGUAUAUCACAUAUGAAUUAAUUUUUUAGCCAUUAUAAAUGCUAUUUUUUAGCCAUCAUAAAUGGUAUUAAAAUUUUUUAAUUUGUACUUUUUCAUUGUUUAUAUUGGAAUACAAUUUAUUUUUAUAGGAUGUGAUCAUGCUUAUUAGUUCUAAUGGCUUUUUAAAAAUAGAUCUCCUUGGAUUUCUACAAAGACAAUCAUAUCAUCUGCAAAUAGAGUCUUAUAUUUUCCUUUGCAAUCUUGGCACAUUUUACUUAUUUUUCUUGCCUUCUUGCACUGGCUAGGGCCUCCUGUAAUAUGUUGAAUGAAAGUUGUAAGAAGUUGCCUUAUUCCUUUUUUUAGAAAGCAUUUAGUCUUUCAUCAUUAAGCAUGAUAUCAACCAAAGUAUUUUCUUGGAUGCUUUUUAUCAGGUUAGCAAAAUUGCUUCUAUUUUGGUUUGCUGACAGUUUUUAUAAGGGAUGAAUAUAGGAUAUUAGCAAUUCUUCCCUCAUUUAUUGAGAUCAUAUAUAUUUAACCAACUGAGCCACCCAGGUACCCCAUGAAUUCAAUUUCUUUAAUACAUUUAGGGCUACUCACAUUAUCUGUUUUCUCAUGAGUGAGUUUUGGGUAGUUUGUUAUGGGCUGAAUUGUGUUCUCCCCAAAUUAAAAUGUUGAAGUUCUAACCCUCAGAACUUGAGAAUAUGACUGUAUUUAGAGAUCUGGCCUUUGAUGAGGUAAUUAAGUUAAAAUGAGACAUUAGAGUGGGCCCUAAUCAAAUAUGACUGGUGUCCUUAUAAGAAGAGAAUAGGGGGUGCCUAGGUGGCACAGUUGAUUGAGCAUCUGACUCUUGAUUUCAGCUCAGACUGUGAUCUUGGGGUUCUGAGAUCAAGCCCCACAUCAGGCUCAAGCUCAGUGAGGAGUUUGGGAUUCUUUCUCCCUCUCCCUCUGUCCCUCCUGCUUGUUCUCUCUCUCUCUCUCUCAAAUAAACAAAUAAGCCUUAAAAAAUAGAGAUUAGGACAGAGACUGGUACAGAGGAAGACCAAUUGAAAACACAGGGAGAAGUUGACCAUCUACAGGCCAAGGAGAGAGGCCUCAGAAAAAACCAACCCUGUUGACACCUUGAUCUUGGACUUCUAGCCUCCAGAAUUAUGAGAAAAUAAACAUAUUGUUUAAGAUCUCCAGUCUUAGUACUUUGUUAUGGCAGUACUAGCAAAGCAAUGCUAGGUGUUUCAAGGAAUUUGUCCAUUUCACCAAGUUGUUGAAUUUAUUAGCAUAAAAUUGUUGAUCAAAAUGCAAAGCAAAACUACAAGAGAUACUACCUCACACUCAUCAGUAUGGCUAUUAUUAAGAACAGAAAGGGGCACCUAGGUGGCACAGUCAGUUAAGCAUUCAAUUCUUGGCUUCAGCUCAGGUUGUGAUCUGAGGAUCAUGAAGUCAAGCCCCAUGUUGGGCUUUGUGCUAAGUGUGGAAUCUGCUCAAGACUCUCCCUCUCCCUCUGCCCAUCCCUUUAAAUAAAUAAA
rnacentral:lncRNA from 1 species